CUUGCAAAGUUUGCAAAUUUUGUAUACUUUUGUAUUGCAUGCGAUACAAAAUUUACAAUACAAAAGUAUACAAAAUUUGCAAACUUUGGAUUGCUAU
rnacentral:miRNA from 1 species